GAUGAACGCUGGCGGCGUGCCUAAUACAUGCAAGUCGAGCGGACGGACGCGAAGCUUGUUUCUCUGUUGUUAGCGGCGGACGGGUGAGUCACACGUGGAUCCCCUACCUGUCUUUCUGGGAUCAUUUCGGGACACCGGCGCUAAUCCCGGAUAAUCUUCUGAACCGCAUGGUUCAAUAGUGAAAGACGGCCUUUCUGUCACUUAUCGAUGGAUCCGCGCUGCAUUAGCUAGUUGGUAAGGUAACGGCUUAUCAAGGCUACGAUGCAUAGCCGACGUGAGAGAGUGAUAGGCGGCACGGGAGCGGAGACAGGGUCCUGACUCCUACGAGAGGCAGCAGAAGGGAAUCGGCCGCAGUGGUCGAAAGCCUGACGGAGCGGCGCCACGUGAGUUAUGGAGGCGUUCGGAUCGUAAAACUCGGUUAUUAGGGGAAAACAGAUGUGGAAGGAACUGUAGACAGCGUGACGGUACCGGGUCAAAAAGCCACGGCUAACUACGUG
rnacentral:rRNA from 1 species